UACGGGGGGGGCAAGCGUUGUUCGGAAUUACUGGGCGUAAAGGGCUCGUAGGCGGCCAACUAAGUCGGACGUGAAAUCCCUCGGCUUAACCGGGGAACUGCGUCCGAUACUGGAUGGCUUGAGGUUGGGAGAGGGAUGCGGAAUUCCAGGUGUAGCGGUGAAAUGCGUAGAUAUCUGGAGGAACACCGGUGGCGAAGGAGGCAUCCUGGACCAAUUCUGACGCUGAGUGAGCGAAAGCCAGGGGAGCAAACGGG
rnacentral:rRNA from 1 species